ACGGAGGGUGCAAGCGUUAAUCGGAAUUACUGGGCGUAAAGCGCACGUAGGCUGUUGUGUAAGUCAGGGGUGAAAUCCCACGGCUCAACCGUGGAACUGCCCUUGAUACUGCAUGACUUGAAUCCGGGAGAGGGUGGCGGAAUUCCAGGUGUAGGAGUGAAAUCCGUAGAUAUCUGGAGGAACAUCAGUGGCGAAGGCGGCCACCUGGACCGGUAUUGACGCUGAGGUGCGAAAGCGUGGGGAGCAAACAG
rnacentral:rRNA from 1 species